CUCCGGUUGAUCCCGCCGGACCCGACUGCUAUCAGAGUGGGACUAAGCCAUGCUGAGUCGACGUAGCAAUGCGUGGCGAACGGCUCAGUAACACGUAGUCAACAUGCCCAGGGGACGUGGAUAACCUCGGGAAACUGAGAAUAAACCACGAUAGGUCACGAUUUCUGGAAUGGAUCAUGGCCUAAAUCUACAUGGCCCCUGGAUUGGACUGCGGCCGAUCAGGCUGUUGGUGAGGUAAUGGCCCACCAAACCUAUAACCGGUACGGGCUCUGAGAGGAGAAGCCCGGAGAUGGGCACUGAGACAAGGGCCCAGGCCCUAUGGGGCGCAGCAGGCGCGAAACCUCUGCAAUAGGCGAAAGCCUGACAGGGUUACUCUGAGUGAUUUCCGCUAAGGGGAUCUUUUGGCACCUCUAAAAAUGGUGCAGAAUAAGGGGUGGGCAAGUCUGGUGUCAGCCGCCGCGGUAAUACCAGCACCCCGAGUGGUCGGGACGAUUAUUGGGCCUAAAGCAUCCGUAGCCGGUUCUACAAGUCUUCCGUUAAAUCCAGCCGCUCAACGGAUGGGCCGCGGAGGAUACUACAGGACUAGGAGGCGGGAGAGGCAAGCGGUACUCAGUGGGUAGGGGUAAAAUCCUUUGAUCCAUUGAAGACCACCAGUGGCGAAGGCGGCUUGCCAGAACGCGCUCGACGGUGAGGGAUGAAAGCUGGGGGAGCAAACCGGAUUAGAUACCCGGGUAGUCCCAGCUGUAAACGAUGCAGACUCGGUGAUGGGCUAGCCUUGUGCCAGCCCAGUGCCGCAGGGAAGCCGUUAAGUCUGCCGCCUGGGGAGUACGGUCGCAAGACUGAAACUCAAAGGAAUUGGCGGGGGAGCA
rnacentral:rRNA from 1 species